UAAGAAAUCUUGGACAAUGGGCGCACGCCUGAUCAAGCCAUGCCGCGUGCAGGAAGAAGCAUCUAUGGUGUGUAAACUGCUUUUGUACGGGAAGAAACACUCCUACGUGUAGGAGCUUGACGGUACCGUAAGAAUAAGGAUCGGCUAACUCCGUGCCAGCAGCCGCGGUAAUACGGAGGAUCCAAGCGUUAUCCGGAAUCAUUGGGUUUAAAGGGUCCGUAGGCGGUUUAGUAAGUCAGUGGUGAAAGCCCAUCGCUCAACGAUGGAACGGCCAUUGAUACUGCUAGACUUGAAUUACUAGGAAGUAACUAGAAUAUGUAGUGUAGCGGUGAAAUGCUUAGAUAUUACAUGGAAUACCAAUUGCGAAGGCAGGGUACUACUAGUGGAUUGACGCUGAUGGGCGAAAGCGUGGGGAGCGAACA
rnacentral:rRNA from 1 species